UGGGGAAUAUUGCACAAUGGAGGGAACUCUGCUGCAGCGACGCCGCGUGAGUGAUGAAGGAAUUCGUUUCGUAAAACUCUGUUCUAUGGGAAGAAAAGGACUGUACCAUAGGAGAAAGCUCCGGCUAAAUACGUGCCAGCAGCCGCGGUAAUACGUAUGGAGCGAGCGUUGUCCGGAAUUAUUGGGCGUAAAGGGUGCGCAGGCGGCUUUACAAGUUGGAUGUGAAAUAUUGUGGCUCAACCACAAACGUGCAUCCAAAACUGCAAAGCUUGAGUUAAGGAGAGGUAAGUGGAAUUCCUGGUGUAGCGGUGGAAUGCGUAGAUAUCAGGAGGAAUACCGGUGGCGAAUGCGACUUACUGGACUUAAACUGACGCUCAGGCACGAAAGCGUGGGGAGCAAACAGG
rnacentral:rRNA from 1 species